UGGAGAUGCCGGGGGAAUGAACCUGGGGUCUCUCACAUGCGAAACGAGCACUCUACCACUGAGCUACAUCCCC
rnacentral:tRNA from 1 species